ACCCAUUUUUGGCCCCAAAAUAUAGCAGUUUUACAAAAUUGUGAAAAUGUAAUCUUUUAUCUAUUUACUGGAAAGUAGAAUGCUUCUGCUACAUAAAUAUGGGCUGUUUUUGACAAUACAAUGCACAUAUAUCGGGUACUAGCAUCCUUAAGUCAUGCUAAAUUACUGAAAUCUUCACAAUUUUAACAUUUUAGUUAAAUUUUAGACGGUUUCUGUCUUAAAUGAAAGUGGCCGCAUUCGUGAUCAUUCAGAAUAUUGAAAUGUAAGUUGUAUUUGAUGAUAAUA
rnacentral:lncRNA from 1 species